CCCGUUCAAGCCCAAACUUUACCGAGCACCUUCGUCUCCAUCGCCAAAUGAUUCCUCUUCCCCUCUUCCUCUCUUCAUCGCCAAAAUAUUCAUUGGCUUCGUCUUCACAGGAGCCUAGAACGCUCGUGAGGUGGGCUGCUCGCGAGGCGGGCUUCUUGCAGCGACCGUUCGCUGCUCAACCUGGAUUAGCGAUAGGCGGAGGAAGAGAAGCGUAUCCUGGCCACGGUGACCUUCCGAUCCAGCAUGGGCCCUUCCGUCGUAGUUUGUUGCAGGCUUGCAGUUGGGAAUACUGAAAUCACUCAUCGACGAGGAUAAAGGAAGGGGGAAGGACAGGGAUGAUGGCCCUGAUGGUGGCGGGCAACUUCGUGCUAUUGUUCUUCUUGAUGCCACUUCUGGCAUCGAUUCCGGCUUGGGCGAUGGGGUCGUCGUUGGUGUUGGGGGCGUGCUGAUGAUGAAGAUGGUAGUGGAGGUGGAAUGGGAGAACAUGAGGGAAGCCGUCUCCGCCUUCAUCACCAUCAUUUUGAUGCCCCUCACCUACUCAAUUACGUACGACAUCAUCGGUGGCAUUGCCACCUACAUCGUCCUCCGCCUUUGUGAAUACAUCUGCUCUGUUCUCAUCAAGAGCUUCCAUCUUCUCUGCAAUAGCUCUGCUUUAUUACCUUGUUCGAUCAAUGUGGAUGGUUGAGACUAAAGAUGUUUAUCUUUUGUCCAUUCAACAUGUUUAUCAUGGGAAAAAUACUUUGGGAGAAAGACAUGGCUCUCCGGUUUUCCUCCAACAUGGUCUUUUCAGAUAGUGGUUUUGAUGUUCGGGUUGGUAAUGUACACAGUGCAAGAUGGAGCCAUGGUCAUACUAGUUUAUCCGUUCAUGAGAAGGUUUCUCUUUUUUUAUUUCAUUUCCUCGAUAAUACAUAGUUAUGUUCUCUCGUACUUUUUAUAUUAGAGUAUUUUGAUCAUAAUGUUAUGUAGUCCUUUGACUAUUUUUCCAGACAUAUUGGUAUUAGAGUUGGCAAGAAUCGGCACAGAACGACUAGCAAGCUAUGAUAAGUUAUAGAUUUUCUAAACUAGUAGCCCUUUAUUGAUGUUUAUAGUUAUUAAAUUUAGAAUCUUAUUCAUGGUUUUAUACUUUUCAUACCAUGUGUUGAAGCCAAAGAGGGGUUGAAAUAAAUUUACAAAAGCUUAAGAAGUUACACUAGCAUGACUUUAUAUCAAUCUAUUAGGUAUACAAUUAUGGUUUCUAAUUUGUAAUAUAUAUAUUUAUUUGAGCAGGAGUCCUCAAUGAUACUGGGAAGAAUGUCGGAAAGCUGAAAAAAUGGAGACUUUAGCAGGUUAAGGAGUAAUGGGAGCUACAAUGCCGCCUCUUCAUCAACAUCUAAGUAGAAAAUCUCAUGUUGUUGUAUUAGUCUACCUUUGUUUUAUUAGUUUUGGUACUUGCCAUUAUGUUAGUUGCUUAUAAAAUUUCUUCAGAAUGUUGUAAAUAUUAUUUUUGAAUGUUGG